rnacentral:rRNA from 1 species
AGGGUUUGAUUAUGGCUCAGGACGAACGCUGGCGGCGCGCCUAACACAUGCAAGUCGAACGAGCGAGAGAGAGCUUGCUUUCUCGAGCGAGUGGCGAACGGGUGAGUAACGCGUGAGGAAUCUGCCUCAAAGAGGGGGACAACAGUUGGAAACGACUGCUAAUACCGCAUAAGCCCACGGUGCCGCAUGGCACAGAGGGAAAAGGAGUAAUCCGCUUUGAGAUGGCCUCGCGUCCGAUUAGCUAGUUGGUGAGGUAACGGCCCACCAAGGCGACGAUCGGUAGCCGGACUGAGAGGUUGAACGGCCACAUUGGGACUGAGACACGGCCCAG